CUUGGCUACUUGGUGGAGGCCACAGGGUCUAGCCUCUUAAGACAAGUAGGCUACCGGACGUCACCAUGGCCCUCCACUGUGGCGGUCACCGUGGGCUGCUGGGGGCCAAGAGAGAAGGAGCCCCGGUCUCGUCAGUCAUCAGACUCCUCCGCUGCGGGGAGGUCUGAUGUCUUGAACAGCUGUUGCCUGCCAAAAUGGACAAAGAACCAAGAGCAGCUGCAGGCCACGCACCACCACUGGGAUUGCUGUGACCUUCCUGCCUUGCCCCUGGGUCUUAAAUCACCAAACUCUAUGGCUCACACUGGGCUGACACUGCUGACCUUACAGCCUUGCAAAUGAUGUCAUCACCAUACGUUCUUCACUCAUGACGUGGCAUGGAUUUGACCAAAGGCGUGAUCAUGUUUAAAAUAAAAACCCUUUAUGAGAGUUCCCUUG
rnacentral:lncRNA from 1 species